UGUUUUAUGGUGUAAGACGCACAUUAGUUUUUGAUUCUUAAGGUUUAAGUUUAAUUCUUAAUAAAACAA
rnacentral:tRNA from 1 species